rnacentral:rRNA from 1 species
UUGUGCAAAGGUAGCAUAAUCAUUAGUCUUUUAAUUAGUGACUUGUAUGAAGGAUUGGAUGAAAUAUAGACUGUCUUAAGAAUAAUUAGUUGAAGUUAAUUUUUUAAUUAAAAAGUUAAAAUAGAUUAAAAAGACGAGAAGACCCUAUAGAGUUUAAUAUUAAAUAUAGUUUAAAUUAUUUAUAAAAUUAUUAACUAAAAAUUUUAUUUAAUAUUUUAUUGGGGUGAUAAAAAAAUAAAAUGAACUUUUUUUGAAAAUAACCAUAGAUAAGUGAUAUAAUGAUCCAAUUUUAUUGAUUAAAAGAAAAAAUUACCUUAGGGAUAACAGCGUAAUUUUUUUUUUUAGUUCUUAUAAGAAAAAAAGUUUGCGACCUCGAUGUUGGAUCAGGACA